UACGAAGGGGGCUAGCGUUGUUCGGAAUUACUGGGCGUAAAGCGCACGUAGGCGGCUGUUCAAGUCAGAGGUGAAAGCCUGGAGCUCAACUCCAGAACUGCCUUUGAAACUAGACAGCUAGAAUCAUGGAGAGGUGAGUGGAAUUCCGAGUGUAGAGGUGAAAUUCGUAGAUAUUCGGAAGAACACCAGUGGCGAAGGCGGCUCACUGGACAUGUAUUGACGCUGAGGUGCGAAAGCGUGGGGAGCAAACAGG
rnacentral:rRNA from 1 species